rnacentral:rRNA from 1 species
AGCGAACGCUGGCGGCAUGCCUAACACAUGCAAGUCGAACGAGACCUUCGGGUCUAGUGGCGCACGGGUGCGUAACGCGUGGGAACCUGCCCUUAGGUUCGGAAUAACUCCCCGAAAGGGGUGCUAAUACCGGAUAAUGUCUUCGGACCAAAGAUUUAUCGCCUUUGGAUGGGCCCGCGUUGGAUUAGCUAGUUGGUAGGGUAAAAGCCUACCAAGGCGACGAUCCAUAGCUGGUCUGAGAGGAUGAUCAGCCACACUGGGACUGAGACACGGCCCAGACUCCUACGGGAAGCAGCAGUGGGGAAUAUUGGACAAUGGGCGAAAGCCUGAUCCAGCAAUGCCGCGUGAGUGAUGAAGGCCUUAGGGUUGUAAAGCUCUUUUACCCGGGAUGAUAAUGACAGUACCGGGAGAAUAAGCGCCGGCUAACUCCGUG